rnacentral:sRNA from 1 species
UGAUCAAAUACGGCCAGGUGUGAUCAAGUCUAUCAUAAAGCCUUUCGGGCUCUAUUGGAUUUGAUCACCCUGGCCGUAUUUUAUCACCCCAUAAUACUCAAAAAAUGAUUCCUUAUUCCUUGAAAAAAUCUGCAGCAUUUUUGUCAGCUUAUAACACACACUUUUCUUACUUCCUGUGAUGUUUUGUUUUACACUAUGCAAUGAGUUCAUGUACUUAUUUUGCCUAAAUUCAAUAAUGAAAUAUUAUUCUAAGAAAAAAAUUAAAAACCUUCAAAUGUUUCAUGUAUUUUUCCAUUGUUUAGCUUUGUAUUACUAUCACAUCGAUGAUAUUUAUGUCUCAAUUUAUUGUUUAAAAGUCUCCAUACAUUAUUGUUUCUUUUUCUUGCCAUUUAUUAUGAUAAUUAAUUGUUAUGACAUCG